CAGUCGCCGCGGGAAUACGAAGGGGGCUAGCGUUGUUCGGAUUUACUGGGCGUAAAGCGCACGUAGGCGGGCUUUUAAGUCAGGGGUGAAAUCCCGGGGCUCAACCCCGGAACUGCCUUUGAUACUGGAAGUCUUGAGUAUGGAAGAGGUGAGUGAAAUUCCGAGUGUAGAGGUGAAAUUCGUAGAUAUUCGGAGGAACACCAGUGGCGAAGGCGGCUCACUGGUCCAUUACUGACGCUGAGGUGCGAAAGCGUGGGGAGCAAACAGGAUUAGAUACCCCUGUAGUCCCUGUCUCUUAUAC
rnacentral:rRNA from 1 species